rnacentral:rRNA from 1 species
CCUCCGGGUGGCAGCAGUAGGGAAUCUUCCACAAUGGGCGAAAGCCUGAUGGAGCAACGCCGCGUGGGUGAAGAAGGUCUUCGGAUCGUAAAACCCUGUUGGUAGAGAAGAAAGUGCGUGAGAGUAACUGUUCACGGAUCGACGGUAUCUAACGAGAAAGCAACGGCUAACGACGUGCCAGCAGCCGCGGUAAUACGUAGGGGGCAAGCGUUAACCGGAUUUAGUGGGCGUAAAGGGAACGCAGGCGGUCUGUUAAGUCUGAUGUGAAAGCCUUCGGCUUAACCGGAGUAGUGCAUUGGAAACUGGGAGACUUGAGUGCCGAAGAGGAGAGUGGAACUCCAUGUGUAGCGGUGACAUGCGUAGAUAUCUGGAAGAACCCCAGUGGCGAACGCGGCUCUCUGGUCUGUAACUGACGCUGAGGUUCGAAAGCGUGGGUAGCAAACAGGAUUAGAUACCCCUGUAGUC